UAGAGCAUCCAAUGAUGUAAUUGUGAAAAAAUGUGGAUUCCGAUUAAUAUGCAAGCCAUUAGAGAAUGAUUUGGAGAUAUUUCUUCAACAUAAUCAGUCCUUGGAUCCAGCUUUACUGUACGAGGUUCGACAUGAAGAUAAUCAGACAAGCACGGUGGAAGAAAGUUCAAGUGAAAUAGAAGAUUUACUAGAUAAUAAAACAGGUAGAGAGGAAAAUGGUUCAAGUGAUUUAAUACUUGAAGGAUCCAACGUGACUGACUUCCCAAUCCAGAACUAUUGCUAUUCCCUAAUUCCCAAGGAUUACCAAAAUGUUGUCCCUGGAGGAGAGAUGCCAGAGGAGUUUGUGCUUGUUGAAGAUGGUACUAUAUCUUUCUUGGCUUCACAAGACUUGUAUGACAAGUUCCUAGCAUUGGCUCUAUGUAUUGUUUUCAGUGUAGAAGAUGGAAAAAAGGAAAUAUCUUUCGACAUUGUGCCAUGUGUUAAUGGCGAAAGGCGGAAUGUGCUAUCAAGAACUCUCGAUUCAUUUGAUUCGGAUCAUAUGUGGAUUCAAUAUCUCAAACCAAAUGUGUUGUGGGGACUGUUGGAGGGAGGAGUUGAUUUUGAUCAAUUUGAGGAGAGUUAUCUACGAUUUAGCCUUAGAAUUGGAGUAUCGGGUGGAACCGUGAAAAAGUUGGGCUAUCUGCUAAGGUUCGGACAACUAGAGGAUGAUUUGAAGGUUGUGCUUGAAGACACUCAAUUUGUGGAUCCAGCUGCACUCUGUGAGGAUCUUGAUGGAUCAAAAGAUUUCAUGGAAUUCUUUAAGAAAUGUCACCUUCCUAUAGAGAACCUGGAAUGGAUAGAAAGUGAAUCGGAAUCCAUUGAAAGUGAAGAAGAAUGAAUGGGAACAGGCAAGUGUAGUAGUGUUGGCUUGCAGUUCUUAAGAAAGCAAUCAUUAAGCUAGCAAAACAUAUUAGGGGCGGCAUAUGUUUUCUUUUAUCCUGGGACAUGUAUGGGGAAAUCCUAUUAUUAGAAUUGUGUUGAAGUGACAUAUGGCUUUCAGUUCAGUCUCUCGUGAGAUUAAAAGAUCUGUGAAUGGAGAGAGGAUGACUUGACACACAAGACGCUUGAUUCAUAAGAAAAGCAUCAUUUCUGGCUGAGGUAUCUCCAGCAUGGUGUGGGAGGUAAGUGAGGUUUUGCAAAAAGAUUCCAGUUAUUUUCACGUUAGCCUCAGACCAUCCCAUAGAAUUGUGAAGAAUUGGGGAAUCCGUCUGAUAUGCAAGCAACAAGAGAGUGAUUUGAGGGUUGUGAUCUCACAGAAUUAGCCAGUAGAACCAGCUUUAGUCCAUGACGGCAGUCUUGGAUCAAGAGGUUCACAGGAUAUUGCGCUUCACUGGGAACAUGGUCUAAGCAAAUGGAUCUAGAGGGAGGUGGUAAGACUAGUACAAAGGAGAGCACGAUGCAUGAAGAAGGCAAAAUAGAGGAGGUAACAGAGGAAGGGCAAUCUGAAAGUUUCUUAUUAAAUGAAGAAUUAAGAAAGGAGCUAGAUGGAGGCACGCGAUAUAAACGGUCGGAUAAUAUUCUUUCUCUGAAAAUAGAGUGAAUAGCAAAAAUGAAGAAAGAGAGAAGAAACUCGGAUCUGUGUUUUCUUGUCUUCACUGUCUGAUUCACAUGAAAGCCAUAGGAUCCAAGUUGUUGCGCAUCCAUUGAGGAUACAUAGGAAUGCAUGGUUAAUCUAAAAUAGAUGCAAGGGAAGAUCAUUUUGUUCCUCAGCAAAGGCACGAUCACCAUCAGUGAGCGACUUCGAACGAAUUUGCACCGAUUUUGUUGGGUAGUUUGAUCACGACUUCUGAGGGAUGGCAACUACUUCCUUCUAAUUGUCAUGGGGUGUUCGACGUAAGUACUUUAUUUUGGUGGAACUGUAAUGGAUCAGUCGGGAGAUGUGCUGCAUUGGAUCCGGCAGGUAAUGGCGCUUGUGUGCAGAUUGCUAUGGGGUUCAAUACCUUUGGUUGGAGGCAUAUGGAUUGUCCUGUGAGUUGAUUGCUUUUCGCGUUCAUGCACCUUUUCAACCUUCCAUUGUUUCUGUGCUAUGAAAGCUCGAAACUCUUGUAGAGGACUAGGCAUCCCCAAGGAUAAAAGAAUGAAGGAAAUCAUCCUUGAAUUUGGAUGAUGGCUUAGUCGUGGAGUGAGAAUUUAGAGCUACCAAAGCCAUUAACAUCCGUGUGAACGAGAUUAUUCCCUACCUCCAAUGCUUGUCCCUUCUCUCUUUCGUUUGAAGGAACCCCACCUCUGUGACGUCCACCAAGUGUUUGUGAAUUUGCCCAAUUGUAUCCAUUGCGUAAUUCACGGAUUUAAAUGUUUUGACUACUAGUUUUGUGAAAUUCUAUUCUCUCUUCUUUUAGUUAUUUUUCUAUUAUGUUGAUGCCCUGGUCAAUCUAGAUGGAUGAGUUUAUUCCAUUUUCACUACUUGCAGACUCGUCCUGGAUGAGAAUUGUUCCUAUUGUGUUUGGGACACAAGUCUAGUAAGCACUUAAGUUCUUCACAGGUUUAAAAGUACCAAGUAUGGAUGGAAAGUUGAAGUUCACUAUUAAAAAUACUUAAGUGAAAGAAUCUAAUCGAGCCUAACAAAUCGCAAGAGAGGCACAUAGCAUGGGGAAGUUUCCAUUUGUAUUUGGAAAUUUGUCAAGUUCCUGUUAUGUACCAUUUGAGAAGGUAAUCUUGUUCGUUUUGAUAUUUUUUUUUUUCCUCACUAUGCAUGGCUAGAAACUUCCACCCCAUGCAUGAGCGGGUGUGAUUAUGAUUUUAUGGAUUUGCUAUAGCAGGAUGUUUUCGAGUGGGUCACUACAUGGAUACUAUACUUCUUGGAAGAGAGAUUCUAUGUUGAUUUAUCCAAAGUCAAGAGUGUUCUGUCUCUUUCUGGGUACCCCAAUAUUUGCAUGCGGAUAUCCUUGAAUUGGCUUUUUUUGUUGCUUUUGAAUUGGAGGAGGGAAUUAAGGCUAGCGUUUCAUUUGAGUUUCGAGUAUUGGUGAACUAUAUUUGAAGUAACUUCAAUACAAGCACUUUCUCUUCAUUACAGUUUGAUCACUUGUGGUUUAACUAUUUUCCACACUGUUCAUUUGAUGAACUGGAUGAGAUGCUAGAGACAGAGUGGAGUCUCUUCCAGGUUUCAUUUGAAGUAUCAAAAGCAACACUGAGAAGGUGUUUGGGUUUCACCUUAUAUGCAAGCAAAUAGAGGAUGGUCUAAGGGUUCUAUGCCAACAUGAAUUGCCCUUAGGAAGUGCCUCAAGCCUCUAAAGAUAAUCUUAGUAAUCAGAGACAUUCUUGAAUCAUGGCACAAAUGUCCACCUCUGGAUUGCAGCCAAGUUUGAAUAUUAGACAUAAUGCUUACUGUAAUUUGUUGCAUUUGCUAAAUGUUUCCUUGCACUUCAAUUCCAACAAUCUCUGCACUUGUGCCGUUUCCCGGCGAGAGUGACCCUUUUGUCCAUCUUCUGAUGGGUUUCCAAUGGAAUUCUCCUAUGUGACGACCACAGUGGCUGUCACAUCAAGCAACUUCAUCUGGGUUUGUCAUGAAAGAUGGAUGGAUGGGACAUUUGUUGAUUUGGCUGGUGCUAAUGCUAAAUUUGGAAAUUUAAUUGUGAGGGAUUACUUUGCAAAUGUCCAAAAGUAUACAUAUACCAUGUAUGUUAUUUAGCAGUCACGAAUUUGAAACUUUUUGCAGCUGAAUUUAGCUUUGCGCGGUUGGGAAUUAUUCAAAUGCUUAGAUAUAAAGUGAUAUUAGAGAAAGUUAUGUAGGUCUUGUUUUUUGGCCUCAUUGGAUGUAUUGUUCAAGUCACUAUGAUCUUGUGCUUUAGAACUUGCUUCAUUUUUAUUGCUUUCUGCGCUUCACUCUUGGGGAUCCUAUAAUUUUUUCCAGAUUGCUUAUUGCAUCACAAAAUGAAGUAUCAAUGUCAAAAAACAAGCAGACUGAACAUUCUAGCUCUUUCCUCUCUCUUUCUUAUUUAUGUGUCUAUCAUCUCUUUCAGUUUCCCCAUACUAUGCUAGUUGGAGUGCUUAUAAUGCAAGAUCAUAAGAGUAAUCCAAUUUGAUGUGCAGAGCUUCUGGAUGUUUUGUCUUUAUGGAAGUUUAAGCAAAUAUGAGCUUGACGAGUUCCAUAUAUUUUAUCCCAGAAUUAUCAAUUGUGUGAAAUCUCUCUUCUUUUCCAUAAAUUCAUGAUGUGUAUAGCUUCAAACACGCUAUAUCACAUUGAAGUACCUUUCUAUUGUUUCAAAAUGGUAUUCCGUGGUGCAUCCAAAUCACUGCCCUUCUAUUUGCCAUUCUCGUCUUGUUUCUGUUUUCGAGACAAGAGUAUGGGAUUACUUGUGUAAGAGGAUAUUCUAUGAAGGAUGGGAAGAAAGAGCUUGAAAGUAAAAAGGCGUCUAUAACAAAGUCAAUUCCUUCAAUUGCA